GAUGAACGCUGGCGGCGUGCCUAAUACAUGCAAGUCGAGCGAACAGACGAGGAGCUUGCUCCUCUGACGUUAGCGGCGGACGGGUGAGUAACACGUGGAUAACCUACCUAUAAGACUGGGAUAACUUCGGGAAACCGGAGCUAAUACCGGAUAAUAUAUUGAACCGCAUGGUUCAAUAGUGAAAGACGGUUUUGCUGUCACUUAUAGAUGGAUCCGCGCCGCAUUAGCUAGUUGGUAAGGUAACGGCUUACCAAGGCAACGAUGCGUAGCCGACCUGAGAGGGUGAUCGGCCACACUGGAACUGAGACACGGUCCAGACGCCUGCGGGAGGCAGCAGUAGGGAAUCUUCCGCAAUGGGCGAAAGCCUGACGGAGCAACGCCGCGUGAGUGAUGAAGGUCUUCGGAUCGUAAAACUCUGUUAUUAGGGAAGAACAAAUGUGUAAGUAACUAUGCACGUCUUGACGGUACCUAAUCAGAAAGCCACGGCUAACUACGUG
rnacentral:rRNA from 1 species